rnacentral:rRNA from 1 species
AGGACGAACGCUGGCGGCGUGCUUAACACAUGCAAGUCACGGGGGCCCGCAAGGGUAACCGGCGAACGGGUGCGUAACACGUGAGCAACCUGCCUUUGUGUGGGGGAUAGCCGGGCUAACGCCCGGGUAAUACCGCAUACGGUUGCCGAGGGGAGUCCCUUGGCAAAGAAACCUCCGGGGCACAGAGAGGGGCUCGCGGCCUAUCAGCUAGUUGGGGGGGUAAUGGCCCACCAAGGCGACGACGGGUAGCUGGU